CCCGCCACUAUGCCAGUCUGUCCAAGUGACUGGGUAUAAUCCAGUGGAGGUUUAGAGUGACCCAGCUUUAGGAAACAGAGCUGGCCAAACUAAUGGUCAAUCCUGUGCCGAAAAGUCUGGAACAUGC